rnacentral:lncRNA from 1 species
CUCCGGUGACACCAGGGGAGACCAUGUCCCCUGCAGUGACAUGGAGUGUUUGGUCUGACUGCUCUGCUUUCCUCCAGGUCCAGGGGUGCUGCCUGGGGUUGGCGGUGUUCCAGGCCUCGUGCCCGGCGUUGGCGGUGUCCCCGGUUUGGUGCCCGGUGUUGGAGGUGUCCCCGGGGUGGCAGGAGUCGGUGCGCCAGCAGCAGCGGCAGCAGCAAAGGCAGCUAAAUAUGGAGCUGGUGUCGGUGUUCCCGGCAUUGGUGGUGUUCCUGGUGUUCCUGGCGUCCCUGGUGUCCCUGGUGUUCCUGGCGUCCCUGGUGUUCCUGGUGUCCCUGGUGUUCCUGGUGUCCCUGGUGUUGCUGGUGUCCCUGGUGUGCCCGGUGUGCCUGGUGUGGCCGGGGUUCCUGGUGUGGUGCCCGGUGUCGGAGGUGAGCAGAUGGACUGGCAUGAGCCAAUGGGUGGUGAUGUCCUCCCUGGUCCCCUGACUCUCUCCCUUCUGUCCCUGCAGUGGGUGGCCCAGGAGCUGCGGCGGCUGCAGCAAAGGCUGCGGCAAAAGCUGCAGCAUAUGGUAAGUAAGUCACCAUCCUCCUUCCCCAGGGAGGGAGGAGGGAUGCUGGCAAAUGGGCACCCCUGGUGCUGUGGGUGGUGGGGAGGUCAGCAGGACCCUGCCUACAGAGCCGGCCUGCUGGGCCACAUCCCUGAACCCCUCUGCAGGAGCAGGGCGCGUGCCCGGUGUCGGCGUGCCCGGAGUUGGUGUGCCCGGUGUCGGCGUGCCUGGAGUUGGUGUGCCUGGUGUUGGCGUGCCCGGUCUGGUGCCCGGUGGGGUCGCAGGCAUACCAGGAGUCGGAGUUCCAGGAGCCGCCGCUGCUGCCAAAGCAGCUGCCAAAGCAGCUAAGUUCGGUAAGCUGCGAUCUCUCUGGGGUUAUCCCCCCUGUCCUGUCUCCUGCCGCUUCCCCACCCUAAGCUGCUC